GACGAACGCUGGCGGCGUGCUUAACACAUGCAAGUCGAACGGAAAGGCCCUGCGUUUGUGGGUUGGUCGAUUGGCGAACGGGUGAGUAAAACGUGAGUAACCUGCCCUUGACUGUGUGAUAACUUCAGGAAACUGGGGCUAAUAUCGGAUAGGAGCUCCUGCUGCGUGGUGGGGGUUGGAAAGUUUCGGCGGUUGUGGAUGUACUCGAUGCUUAUCAGCUUGUUGGUGGGGUAGUUGAUUACCAGGGCUUUGACGGGUAGGCGGCCUGAGAGGGUUACCGGCGACCUUGGGACUGAGAUAGGGACCAGACUCCUACGGGAGGCAGCAGUCGGGAAUAUUGCACAAUGGGCGGAAGCCUGAUGUAGCAACGUCGCGUGCGGGAUGACGGCCUUCGGGUUGUGAACAGAUUUCGAAUGUGACGAAGAGUGAGUGACGGUAAUGGGUAAAGAAGCAACGGCUAACUACGUG
rnacentral:rRNA from 1 species